CUUUUUGAAUUAGUUCUGUGCUAAAAGGCUUGGCUUUGGCUUAACCAGAGGUUUUUAAAUGUCAGAGGCUCCUUAGGGCAGGUAGCUGUGGUGUGGGGUCUUUUGUUCCCUGUAACUCAUUUGGGGGCCUUGUUUUGGGAGCUGCAGCAGUGUCAGUAAAGGAAGAGACUGUGAGAAAGGCCUUGCUAUGGGCCGUGGUAGGAAACGGCCCAGGAGCACAGCAAAGGGGCUGGCCAAACUGACCUUAUCUGCUUGGUACAGGGUCCUUGUGCUGGCACCUAGAGUGGUGGCUGGGUUUGGGUUCCCUUACUGACCCACCUGGGAUGGUGGUGUGAAGACCCCAGAGGCAAAGGCUAGAGGGCCCCCAAAGCCAGAAAUGUGGGCUGAAGCUCUGGCAUAAUGUUGUCAGAGUAUUGGUGUGCAUUGGACUGCAUUUACCCAGAAAGAAGCAGACCACUGUGAGACAGAAGAGACUGUUGGCAGAGCCUGCCAAAGGAGAAGAUGCAGUUGUGCCAUGUCUAGCCAGGAGGAGAUGUGUCUGUGCUCUUGCAUCACUGACCAAUACCACACAGCUAUUGUUAGGCAAAUGAUUCUGCACUUACAUCAUCCAAGCACUCACUCUGAGGAAGUGCUAGUCACUGAUACAACAAAGCUGUGGAAAAAGAACUUGAGAUGUGUUUUGACUGCUGAAAAUAAGAGGGUGUGCAGGCAGGAGUCU